rnacentral:lncRNA from 1 species
AAGAGCCUCUGCCACCAAAGCCGACACGCCUCCGUGCAACACCUUGAAGGACUUCACCAUGUGCAAAAUUAAACCAUAAAGUUCCCAUCUUUACUAAAGACAAACAAAAACCAGAAUAGUGGGCGAGAGAAACAGGCAGAGGCAUAAGGAGAAGGAGAAGAAAUGGAGGCAGGGUGAGAAUGGCGAUGACCGCGGAGGGGGAGGGUCGGCGAGGGAGUCGCUAGAAGUGGGCAGUGAUGGAGGAAGAACGGUGGCAAGUGAGGAGAGGAAGAUGAAGACCACGGGGUGGAGAAGAGGAAGGCGCCAAACCAGCGGUGCAGUAGAGCAGGGAGGAACGGUGCAGCAGUUGGUGUGGAGUAGGGAGGGCAAUGCAGAGGGGCGGUGCAGCAACGGUGGUUCAACAAUAGUGCAGCAGGCCGAGGCAGUUGUGUGGACUUCUCAAUGAAGGCAGCAUCGGUGGUUGAGCAACGGUGGUUCAGCG